CUUUUAUAAUGCCACUAAAGUGUCAUCUUGGUUUUUGUUUUGUUUUUAAAGCAACUAAGUUCAUACAAAGAAAAUUCAGCAUUUCACUCUGAGGCCCUGGGAGAGAAGGCAGCAAGUAAACCACUAGCACAAUUGGUGAUCAGCUGAAUUUACUCCCAUCUUCUGCUAUCAGUUACCUGAGUUGAGACAGUUCUAUCCAGGUCUCAAGACCAUCUAAAUCCAUCAGCAUCUCACACAAUGACGCACUUUGAAUGAACCAGAAUAACAACAGCAUAGGGCCUGGAGUCCAGGCUGGCUGAAGCAAUGGCAGAGCCUACAGAAGCCAAAGACAGUAUAGACCAUCCUACUGCAAUACCAUCCUCUUGGAGAGACCUAAGCAGGUCAGCUAUUUAGCUUCUUAAAAUGCCUUGGCAAGAGGGCAUUCAGCGGAGAAAAAAAGAGAGGAAGAAAGCCUUUAUAAAGCCAGAUCAAAGCAGU